GAUCAUGGCUCAGGAUGAACGCUAGCUACAGGCUUAACACAUGCAAGUCGAGGGGAAACGAUAUUUGAAGCUUGCUUCCGAUAGGCGUCGACCGGCGCACGGGUGAGUAACGCGUAUCCAACCUGCCCACCACUUGGGGAUAACCUUGCGAAAGUAAGACUAAUACCCAAUGACGUCUCUAGAAGACAUCUGAAAGAGAUUAAAGAUUUAUCGGUGAUGGAUGGGGAUGCGU
rnacentral:rRNA from 1 species